rnacentral:rRNA from 1 species
UACGUAGGGGGCAAGCGUUAUCCGGAUUUACUGGGUGUAAAGGGAGCGUAGACGGCUCUGCAAGUCUGGAGUGAAAGCCCGGGGCUCAACCCCGGGACUGCUUUGGAAACUGUGGAGCUAGAGUGCAGGAGAGGUAAGUGGAAUUCCUAGUGUAGCGGUGAAAUGCGUAGAUAUUAGGAGGAACACCAGUGGCGAAGGCGGCUUACUGGACUGUAACUGACGUUGAGGCUCGAAAGCGUGGGGAGCAAACAGG